rnacentral:rRNA from 1 species
AGCGCACUGCUCAGUAACACGUGGACAACCUGCCCUGAGGACUGGAAUAAUCCCGGGGAACUGGGGGUAAUUCCAGAUAUGUCAGAACUCCUGGAAUGGGUUCUGGCAGAAAGGCUCCGGUGCCUCAGGAUGGGUCUGCGGCCUAUCAGGGUAGUAGUGGGUGUAACGUACCUACUAGCCUACGACGGGUACGGGUUGUGAGAGCAAGAGCCCGGAGAUGGAUUCUGAGACAUGAAUCCAGGCCCUACGGGGUGCAGCAGGCGCGAAAACUUUACAAUGCGGGCAACCACGAUAAGGGGACCUCGAGUGCUGGGUUACAAACCUGGCUGUUGGGCUGCCUAAAAAGCAGUCUGUAGCAAGGGCCGGGCAAGACCGGUGCCAGCCGCCGCGGUAACACCGGCGGCUCGAGUGGUAACCGCUAUUAUUGGGUCUAAAGGGUCUGUAGCCGGCCGACUAAGUCUCUUGGGAAAUCUGGCAUCUCAAGUGUCAGGCUGCCAGGGGAUACUGGUCGGCUUGGGACCGGGAGAGGUGAGAGGUACCUCGGGGGUAGGGGUGAAAUCUUGUAAUCCUCGAGGGACCACCAGUGGCGAAGGCGUCUCA